CACGUAGGGCGCAAGCGUUGUCCGGAAUUAUUGGGCGUAAAGCGUCCGUAGGUGGCUAGUCAAGUCUGCGGUCAAAGACUGGGGCUUAACCCUGGAAAGGCCGUGGAAACUGACGAGCUAGAGUGCAGUAGGGGUAGAGGGAAUUCCCGGUGUAGCGGUGAAAUGCGUAGAGCUCGGGAAGAACAUCGGUGGCGAAAGCGCUCUACUGGACUGCAACUGACACUCAGGGACGAAAGCUAGGGGAGCGAAUGGG
rnacentral:rRNA from 1 species